UCCAUCUUGAUAUACAUGUCAACAGCCCACUGUUGGAAAAGGCGCGCCCCGAACAAGAUGAUGUUAAAAAGCUUCUUCCUGACCUGCAGUUUGAAGCAGUAGUACUCCCUCGCACUAACAAAUUUCCUGGAUUUUGUUGCAUUCACCUCAUUGUCACCAAAAUCCUCAUCUGGGUUAUAUUCAUUGUCAUCUACAAGAUUCACAAAAUUUCAAAUUCAAUAUGUUGUUUGCAUGCAUAAUAGUUGACUAUAUAAGAAUUGAAGAUUAAGCAAUGAUGACCGAUACCCGCAGGUAAAUCCGUGGCAUGGUCUUCAUGUGGUUCAAAAUUCCCAACUUGUUCACUUUCUGUAAUGAAGUUUUCAUGUGAUAGAAAAAUGAGAACAUAAGUCUUCACUCGUAAAUAGAAAGUAUAUAAAUUAAUAGUGCACAUCAUACCUGUAGAUAAAUCAGAGGUUUGGUUUACUCGUGGUGCAGUAUUAUGCGCUGAAUAUUGGGUCGUGUCAUCUACAAGAUUCACAACAUUUCAAAUUCAAUAUGAUGUUUGCACCCAUAAUACUUGACCACAUAAGAAUUGAAGAAUAAGCAAUGAUGUCCGAUACCUGCAGGUAAAUCCGUGGCAUGGUCUUCAUGUGGUUCAAAAUUUCCAACUUGUUCACUUUCUGUAAUUAAGUUUUCAUAUAAUAGAAAAAUGAGAACAUAAGUGUUCAUUCAUAAUAGCAAGUAUAUAAAUGAAUAAUGAACCUCAUACCUGCAUAUAAAUCAGAGGUUUGGUUUACUUGGGGUGCAGGGUUACCCGAUGAACAUUGUGUGGUGUCAUCGAGGGGGCCAACAUAUGGCAUCCUACGAUUCCAACCAGUCUCCCCACGUGGGAAGAAUAGUGGAUAUGACAAUGGGUCGUAGCACCCAUAGUAUGCUCUAAUAUAUAGGGGCCGGUCUCCUUUUUUUCCAUGUACGACAACACUUCUGUCAAAGCAAUUCUUUGGGUCGCUCCCUUCAACCCAUAUCGCUGCCACCUGAGAAGUCGUUGGGGCAUUGUACCUUCGUUGAUCCAAGUUGAUAUCCGUGUUUAGUGAGAUCCUAUACUCAUCUAGAUUUGGAACAGACCCAAGGCUCUUUAAAACUUGUGCAUAAGGGUUACGCUCAAGUAUUCGCAGAAUCUUUCGUAUGAGGUCUAUAUUAAGAUCUGGAGACCUCAUAGCCCUGUGAACCAAGUCUUGAUCUGUAUCAUAAAUAUAAAGCUGCAAAUGCCGAGGUCCAUUAUCAGCCGGCACCAGACCAUCAAGAGCGUGGUAUAAGCCACCACAUGCACGAAAUGUAUAUACUCCAGUUCCUGCCGCUGUGCUUACUCGGCGAUCAAGAGUGACUCCUAGAGUUGUGAAUGAGAAGUGCGAGUUGAAAUACCGUAUAUGCUCUCUAAAAUAUUUAGCAUCCUCAUCAUCUUGACUUGUAAACAACCGUUUCAGCUCUUCUGGAAUGUCUGGAGUAAUAAUAUCGACUUUUCCUUUUCUGCAACAAAAUGCUGGGCCCUCAAAUGGAAACCGCAAUGCCCCACAGUGGCGACAGUCGGGAACCUUUCUUAGGACAUGGUGCUUUGUAGGUAGGUUUCGGUAAAUGAAUUCAUCGGUAUUUGAUACUGGUGCGGCUCGUGGGCGUCCAAGUUGGUACGAUUCAUAAGCAAGACCUAGCAUUGAAGAACAAUUUGUAUUAAAUAUUGAAUGAAGACCUAUGAGGCUCAUGGUAAAUUCGGAAAUAGACAAUGGACAUAUCUUCGGCCAUAAAUAUUCUAGCUUCCUCAUCAGGCUCAUGGUAUAUAGCUUCUCCAUUUUGCAAUGGCGCCAAACAGUCUAGUAGGCAAUAUAUUGGUCAAACAUAAAUGCCACAAAAUUGUCGACGAAGAACCUGAUAUGUGAACGACAAAAUAUAUAAUGUACCUUCAAAAUUGGGUUGUUGAACAAUGGGCUCAAAUAUUCCAUAUGGGUCUUCUAUAUGGUCGUUGCCCACUACGGAAAACCACAAGAUAAGUAGAGCAUACAAAAUCAGGUACUAUAGUAGUCUAGGGUCAUCAAACUUACUUUGUAGAUCUUGAGUGCUUUGAGUAUCAUCCGGAGACGGUUCCGCAGGGCGUCUCUUAUCAUUAGUUGGCGUCUUCAUUGGUUGACUGGAGCCAUUAAAAGGAUGUAUACCUGAAUAAACGAAAGAGAACCAGGAAUUGCGAUCAAAUUAACACUAUGGACACACUUCCACCAUAACUAAAUGGACGAACUAAACCGCACCUUGAAUUGAGAAAUCUGGGUUACGUAUUCUGCUAAUUUGGGGUGCCUGAACCCCUGAAAGUUGUGUGAGAGGCCCUGCAUUGUGUUCAAUUGACAGUAACUGUCAUUCAGAAGCUGAUUAUAGUUUAUUAUUGUUUAGAAGAGUACAAACCAAAGGCAUUAAAGCAUACCUUGUGCAAUAUCUCUUACGACGGUGGAGAUUGAUUGCAUGUUAUGACCAAGAGGCAUAGCAACAGCUCUAAUGCGUCCACCAAUUUGUUGUAUCUGAUAUGCAUCAUUCCUGUGCAACCAAUCGGACUCCUCAUCGUAUGUUAAAGUAUUCUCCUUGUCGUAGGGGGCAUGUUCAGGUGAUAGAUCUGAAUUUGGUAUAUUUGAUAAUACUGCAAGAAAAUUGUAGAUAACAUCAGUAAAACCUUUUUUGUUAUAUUCGAUAAGAUAACACCAUGCAAUCAAUAUGUUAUGGUAGCACAGAACCUGCAGACGAUAUUUGUUGUAGCUGGGUGACACCGGAUUGUCCUGUAGCUGGUGUGUGUAACACGGUGCUAUCGUUGGUGAGUAGGGUCGUAGUAGCCUUUCUCUGCUCACGUGAUAGGCGUUGUCGUUUUAAUAUCUCAUCCCUAUUUUGUGCAUACCGCUCCCUGUUCCUUUGCCUCCGUAUGUCUUUAGGGUCUACAUAGAUGAGAAAGCUAGUUAGUAUCAACAAAUAGGGUUGUAUGUAGUUGGUUGAUCGUCAUUACCAAUGGGUAUGGACAUCGGUGUUUGUGUUUCAUUUUCAUGGACACUGAUAUCAGCGGAAGCGUCAGCCAUUUUUUUGUUUCUGUAGGCCUGACGUUGUCUCUUUAAUAUUUCGUCUCUAUUUUGUGAAUACCGUUCCCUAUCCAGUCGCCUCUUCAGCUCCGUAGGGUCUACAUGUAUGAUUUAGAGUAUCAUAAGUUACGUGAAUAAUACAUAAGCAUGCAGUAUAUGGCCAUACUUACCAUGGGACAUGGCUAGGGGUGUGUGUGGCACAUUUUGCUCAUCAUUCGGCAGAGGUUUAUCAGUCUGCUUCUUUAAACGUGCCUCACGACGUCUUUUCAGAAUGUCCUCUCUGUUUCGUGCAUAGUAUUCUCUGUCCCUCUGCCUCUUAAUUUCUUUAGGGUCUGUUUAAAUAUACAAUGGAAAUUAGCACAUUCGUUAUAGAAGUGUUCAUGAACCCAGAAAAAAAGAAGCGCUCAGUUGGCUGAUAGUUACCUGAGGAAUGGAUGUUGCUUAUAUCCUGAAAUGGGGUGCGUGCCCCCGAGUGAUUUGGGGAAGUCAUAACAUCGACUUCGUAGACUGAAUACUCCAGUAAAAAAUCUGUCAAGAGGGUUGACUGGAAGCAUAUAUUAGUCAGAAUUAGAUUCAAGUUAUGUUGUCAUAAAUCUGUAGAUUUCAUUUUCUUAAAGCAAAAGGAAGUUAGAAGAUAAUUUGCAAGAACAAGAAGAAAUGUCUAAUAUUAAAAUCUUGCCUGAUAUUUUUAGAGGAUGGCACAGGUGAUGCAAGGAACCUACGACCUGUUUGCAGCGAAGAAGGUGAGGGGGAGCAGCCGCGCAUGUAAUGGCCAGUGGAGGGCGGCCAGGGAAGGCGGCGGCGGUGUUUUCGUGCGGCGAGGUCGCCGUCCAGGAAGGCGAAGGCGAUGAUGUUUCUGAGCGGCAAGGGGAUAUCCGUGGGGUGUGUUUCUUGUUUUUGGAUUUGAAAGGUCUAUUAUUAUUUGUGGUAAUGGGGGAUACGUGUUUGAAUUUGUUUGGAAGACCUACGUGAUUGUAGGGAUUGUUUUUGCUUUCGCAUGGAAGUUUUCCUCCGCGGUGGAGUAUGGUCAGUCAACAUAAAUUAGUAAGUGCACACCAGAAAACAUAUCAGGUGAAGGCUAGCCGUUGGAUUUAGAUAAGUGGGGAUAAUCCUGUGGUAGUAUUGGGUCCGUGUAUGUUUUGUGGGGUGCGUUUAGCAAAGAUAAUGUUUGCUCUUUUNNNN
rnacentral:lncRNA from 1 species